GGAGGUUUAAGCCUAAUUGGUAAGGCAGUAGUCUUGAAAACCACUAGUAAUCAUGUAAUAGUGAUGUGCAAGUUCGAGUCUUGUAGCCUCCUCA
rnacentral:tRNA from 1 species